UGAUUGCCUUUGUAAACUCCUU
rnacentral:siRNA from 1 species